ACCUGUAAAACCCAACUCAUCCAACCCAACUGAACAGCAUAUUUUGUGUUUCAGCCUCGAACGGCUCGAGUCAGGGAGAAAGGGCUGCACAGAUGACGACAGUGACGACCCAUGCCUCGAGCGACCCGAGUCGGACCACGAGGACACCAGUGACGACCACAAAAAAGCCUGCUACACAGGCGACUCCAUCACCAGCAGACUGCGGGGACCUCCAUGACGCCAGCAGGAGGGGGAACCUGGAGGAGGUGAAGCGGAUCCUGUCUCGGGGCGUGGACGUCAACUUAGGUG